AUGGGCAGUUAGAAAUAACAAAGCUCACUGAGCAGCUGGAAUCUGUACAAAGCCAUCCGCAGCGCGAAUCCAUUCAAGAGAAGGAGAUUUCAGUGAGGCAGAAAUUAGAAGAAGCCCUAGUGGGUGAGGAGCGCUAUUGGGCUCAGAGAUCUAGGAUCCAAUGGAUCAAAGAUGGAGACAGAAAUACCUCUUUCUUCCAUACGGCUACUUCCCGAAGACGCGAGCUCAACUACAUCUCUUGUCUCCGCAAUUCUAGUGGGGAUUGGAUCCCGGAAAGCCAAGGUUUGUCUGAUCUUAUUACAAGUUAUUUUUCAAACCUCUUUACCUCCUCCACUAUGGGGAAUAUUGCUGAUUUCUUGGACUGUGUCCCUACUCGGGUUACUCCUGAGCAGAACCAAAUACUUUGUUCUCCAUUUACUGCUAAAGAGGUUAGGGUUGCUGCCUUCCAGAUUGGGGUUUUUAAAGCCCAUAGUAUUGAUGGACUUCCUGGGAAGUUCUAUCAGUUGCAUUGGAAUAUUAUAGGUGCUGAUGUGGUUAAUGCUGUACAAUGGUUUUUUAACUCUGGUCACAUGCGUAAGAGCUUUAAUGAAACAGUCAUUGUCCUAGUUCCAAAACAUAAAAGCCCUAGUGAGUUGCACCAUUUCCGGCCCACUAGUUUGUGCAGAGUCAUUUACAAAAUUAUUGCAAAAUGUCUUGUGAAUCGGCUCAAACCUUUUUUACAUUCUUUAGUUCAUCCAUUUCAGAGUGCUUUCAUCCCUUCUAGGGCCAUUUCGGAAAAUGUAUAUAUUGCACAUGAAAUUUUACACCAAAUGAAGCACUCUAGUCAAAAAAAGGGUAUAUGGCUCUAAAGUUGGACCUUAGUAAGGCAUAUGAUAGAGUUGAAUGACAAUUUCUAGAACAUAUGCUGCACAAAAUGGGAUUUUGUGCCACGUGGGUCAAUUGGACAGUGCAAUGUGUGUCCUUGGUUUCAUACCAUAUCAAAGUACAUGGUAGCAUUGUUGGGAAGGUCACCUCUUAUAGGGGGCUCCGUCAAAGAUGGCCCCUAAGCCCCUAUCUUUUCAUUUUAUGUCAAGAUGCUUUUUCUUGCAAUUUCAUUAAGGCUGAGAGAUGUAAGGAGAUAUAUGGGUUUAAAACUAGUAGAUCGGGUCUUGUAAUAUCCCAUCUCCUUUCUGCCGAUGAUUGUCCCUUUUUCUCCAAAGCAGGGGGUAAUGAAGGUCGGCAAAUUUCUAGGCUCAUUGAGAAUUAUUGUAGUGUUUCUGGGAAAAUGCUUAAUGUUGAUAAAACCAGUAUUUGGUUUAGUCCUUGUACUCCCAUCUCUUGUCGUGGAGAGGUCUUUAAUGCAACCGGGUUUAGGGAGGUUCCUGACCUUGGCAAAUAUUUGGGUCUUCCAACCAAUUUUGGUAGAUCCAAAAAGACUCUCUUUUCUUACAUUAUUGAUAUAGUGCAGAAUAGACUUUCUGGGUGGAAGGAAAAACUACUGUCCGCAGUAGGUAAGGAGAUACUCAUUAAGUCUGUUGUCCCUGCUUUGCCCUCUUACACUAUGUCAAUGUUUCUCCUUCCUUCCUCUUUAUGCUAUGCUUUAGCUAAAAUUGUUAAGACAGUUUUGGUGGAAGGAUAGCACUGGGAAAGGGGUUUGCUGGAUUAAAUGGGCCCACCUUUGUAGGAGUGAAAAAGAGGGAGGGCUGGGGUUCAGGGACAUCCACUGCUUUAAUAUUGCUCUUUUAGCUAGACAAGGGUGGAGGCUCAUUCAAAAUGAGUCCUCCCUUUGGGCUCAGGUGUUUAACGGUAGAUAUUUUAAUUCUUCUUCAUUUUUGGAGGCUAAGCCUAAGGGUAGUUGCUCCUGGGCAUGGCGUAGCCUACUCAAGGGCUGUAUAGAGCUAUUGGUAAUGGCUGCUCAACAACUAUUUUUAAGGAUAGAUGGAUCCCUGCUCUACCGGGUGGGAUAAUCAUUAGCCAAAACCAACAUGCAUCUGUCUCUUUUGUGUCUGAACUUAUUAUGCAUACUGUUAGGAAAUGGAACUUACCUCUCCUUAGAUCUAUCUUUAUGGAAGAUGAGGUAAAGGCCAUUUCCCAAAUUCCCCUUUGUUUGUCUCCAAAAGAUGACAGUUGGCCCCUUUGUUUGUCUUCAAAAGAUGACAGUUGGGUCUGGGGAUUGUCAAAAUCAGGAAUUUUCUCUGUAAGGUCUGCUUAUUAUACAUCUCUAGCCCGGCUCUCAACUGGAUCUGCAUCUUUUGAUCCCUUUUGGGUUGUCCUUUGGAACCUCAAUAUUGUUCCCAAAAUAAGAUUCUUCAUUUGGAAGUGUUGCUCUAACUCUAUUGCAGUAAAAAACGUUCUCUUUAUAAGACAUCUGGCCGCUGAUACUCUAUGUCCACUAUGUAGCAGUAAGGAUGAAUCUAUUGUGCAUGCGCUGUUCCAUGAUUUGGAAGAGUAGAAAUGGCGUAGUUUUCAAUCGUACCCCCUUGAUCUUUAAGGAGUUUUAACUGCGGUUGCUGCAUCCAUUGCAGGACACAUUCAUUCUGAAACCCUUUCUGUCCCUGGUAGGCCUUGGCUGAGAGAGGUCGCUACGGGGCUGCUUCAACCUGAGUGCUCAGUUGUGCAUACGGAUGGUGCUUGGAGGGCUUCAACUUGCAAAGGCAGUAGAGGAAUUAUCAUUGAAUCUUCAUCUGGGGAUUUCUAUGUGGCUUACUGCCGUAGUGGACUCUGUUACCCUGCUAUGGCUACAGAAGCUGAAGCAAUCCGUGAUGGCGUCCUUCUUGCUGUGUCAUUAAAUCUCUCUGCUGUUUUGAUUUGAAGUGAUUAUUUGCCUCUGGUUGUGGCAUGUAAUAGGCGCAAUGCCUCGUUAGAUUGGGCUGCUCGUUCGAUUGUUGAUAAUUUGUUGAGAUUAAUAGGUUCUAUUUCUUCUGUAACCUUUAGGUUUGUUCUUCGUGAGUCAAAUAGGGAGGCACAUUUUCUUGCUAAGGGUGCUUCUUUGUUCUCUCUUUCUCAUGUCUGGUGGUUCCAUCCCCCCCCCC